CAUUAUUCUGAAUUUUUUUCAGGUAUAAGCAAUUAAGCAUUCGGCUGGACUUAGGCUGAUGUGACUGUCUAAAACAUUCAGGCUCACCUGUUUAUGUCCUUAUUAGUAUUGAAGGGUCCAGGCAUGGAUCCUUUCGAGCACGAGAGACCUGAGCAUCAUCCCGUCGUGUGAGGCCCUCGCCGAGGAUCAAAGUCAGUUGACAAGGUGGAUCAUUGGAGGCCAGAAGCUGCGGUCUCGUCGGUGUUGUGCAGUAGCUCGGUUGAUGGCCGCUGAUGGAUUUUACAGAUUGGUUCGCUUCGUGUAUAUAACUUAUAAGGUGCUUACUGUGCAAAAGAAUAUAUUCAUCCAUUUUUUAUUGGCAACAAACAAUUAGUCUUUUCUGUUAGCCUUGUUUUUUUUAGAGAGAGGACCUUUGUUGAUGGAUGUAGAUUUGGACAACAGAGACAAGGGUUCGGCUGGUAAAUCAAGGAUAUGGAAAGGUAAAAGAUUUAUUUGCAGGAGUGAGAAAUAUAAGGCCUGAAUUCCUAAAGGUUCGGAAGGAUCUCAAUAUUGCUAAAGAAAGAGACAAGGAUCAGCACUAAAACAUUGUUGAAGAAGAUUCCAAGACAUGUAUCAUGGAUCGGGCACAGUAUACUUUCUACAUGCCUUUUCCUUGUUGACUAAACAGUCUAAACCUGAGCACAUGACAAUUUUCAGUUCUCAUGUAAUCCGAACUGCUGCCGGUUCAGAUUUCAGCAUUCCCUGCGAUUCUUGAUUUGCGUCGCGCUGCGGCACACAUUGCUCGUCGUUCUACCUGCUUCUGUGCCUUCUACUUCUUCCCGCAAGAUUGCCACAUGAAUUAACAAAUCUGAUGAGAGCACUUUAAUUGGUGAUACAUCUUUUGUUAUUAUGCUACUGCAUGUGAAUUCUCAUCUUGCGCCUCAGCCUAUUUUGCUUAGCAGGCAUGGUGGGAGCUUACACAAUGUUACAGGAGGUUUGCUUCCCUAAUCUGGUACCUUCACGUGAUAUUUUCAUUAAGUCACCAUUUUUUUAGUUGUGGAAGUAAUAGGUAAAAGGUAAUAUAUAUGUAUGAAAAUUGCAAAAUUUCAUUAUCUUAUUUGCCCAAGUAUCGUGCAGAAUGAAUUCUCUUAUGGGAAUUAGCCUAUUGUGUUCGACCUACCUAAAAAUUAUGCAGUGAAGAUGUUGAGCUUUAUCAAAAAAAAAAAACACUAGAAAAAAUAACUCAGUUCAUUUUCCUGGUGUCAUAAUUCAUAACUGAUAAGCUUGUAGAUUGUUAUUCUUUUUCAACAAUUUGUAUUUUGUAAUUGUUGAUAUAAAUUGCUUGGUUACCAUCGCUAGCAAGAGAAGAGAUGAGGAUGACAGAGAAUCAUCGGGUGAGGACGAAGAUGAGCUAGAUGUAUGAGCCUGCCUCAUUGUGCCUGUCGGCUCGGAGAAGUCCAUGAUGACGAGGCUGUGGGGCGACCAUGAGUUCCAUCUCGGGUGCAGAGCUGGAGUAGUGGGUGUGGUAAGCCCCCUGGGUGGAAGUGCGUCUUCACAAGCACCAACUCACCAUCGCCACCUUUGCCAUCAGUACCAAAGGAGUCAGCACAACCAUGUGUACAUGGUUAAGUGGAGCAGAUAAAGUCAAAAACCAAGUUGAAAGUUUCAGAGGCACAGAGGCUGGGGGUAUGUUCUUGAAACUACAGGAAGACUAAGGUGUUUUACGUUGAAUUCUACUUGUACUAUCAUGCCUCUACAUUAUAUAUUCACAUGGAAAAUUGCAAAACAUGCUUGAAAACCUUGUUGUCCUUAGUCGUUCAUUGGUUUUACUAUGAUAUUGUAGUUGUAGGUGCAGAGAUCGACUAUGAUAUAGCUUGGUACAUGGCUUCCUCAUGAGGAAAACAAGGCAACAUUGUGUUGAAACAUAUUGCACGGGAAAACAGUAGGAUUUCUAGGAUGCCACAUUAUAUAAACAAUGUAAUGUGCUUCUAUUUAUUCUAGAUCAAACACGAAAUCCGUUGUAAUUUUCUUUACUGCACACAAUCCUUUUGUGUAAAUCAUAGAUUAUUUGAGAUGUAGAGGAACAUAUAGCGUUUAUUGCAAAAUACACUUAUAUUUAUUUUACCAAGAAAAAUGCAUUGUAUUACA